GGAUGUGGCCACCCUGCUGUACCGUGCGCCCCGCCUCGCAGUGGACUGCCUCACACAAGCCCUUCCAGGCCCGCCCCACAGUGCCCUGAUCCUGGACGUGGCCUGUGGCACAGGCCUAGUGGCUGCCGAGGUGGGCUGGUGUGUCUGACCACCAGGACCAACUCGUCCAACCUUCAAUACAAGGAGGCUCUGGAGGCCACCCUGGACAGGCUGGAGCAGGCUGGGAUGUGGGAAGGCCUGGUGGCCUGGCCUGUGGACCGCCUGUGGACCGCUGGGAGCUGGCUACCUCCGAGCUGGAGGUGGUAUCCGGCAUCUCUGCCAAGGAUGGCUUCAUCUCCGGCAUUGUCUACCUGUACCGAAAGUGGAAGGCGACCCAGGUUGAGGAAGUGAGAUCCAGCCCCCAGCCCCCAGCUGGCCCCUGACUCCAUGUGGCCUUAGCUGGGCCCAUCUGCUGGGCCUCCUCUGCCUCCCCUGUAAAAUGGGACCUCCGAACCAAC
rnacentral:lncRNA from 10 species